rfam:Stegodyphus mimosarum contig42338, whole genome shotgun sequence.
GCCUUCGUAGUGUAGUGGUCAGCCCGCUCGCCCCGUAUUCGAGAGGUUCGUGGUUCAAGUCCCGGCGAGGGCA